rnacentral:rRNA from 1 species
GAUGAACGCUGGCGGCGUGCCUAAUACAUGCAAGUCGAGCGAACAGACGAGGAGCUUGCUCCUCUAACGUUAGCGGCGGACGGGUGAGUAACACGUGGAUAACCUACCUAUAAGACUGGGAUAACUUCGGGAAACCGGAGCUAAUACCGGAUAAUAUAUUGAACCGCAUGGUUCAAUAGUGAAAGACGGUUUUGCUGUCACUUAUAGAUGGAUCCGCGCCGCAUUAGCUAGUUGGUAAGGUAACAGCUUACCAAGGCAACGAUGCGUAGCCGACUUGAGAGGGUGAUCGGCCACACUGGAACUGAGACACGGUCCAGACUCCUACGGGAGGCAGCAGUAGGGAAUCUUCCGCAAUGGGCGAAAGCCUGACGGAGCAACGCCGCGUGAGUGAUGAAGGUCUUCGGAUCGUAAAACUCUGUUAUUAGGGAAGAACAAAUGUGUAAGUAACUAUGCACGUCUUGACGGUACCUAAUCAGAAAGCCACGGCUAACUACGUG